UACAGAGGUCCCAAGCGUUGUUCGGAUUCAUUGGGCGUAAAGGGUGCGUAGGUGGCCAACUAAGUCAGACGUGAAAUCCCUCGGCUUAACCGGGGAACUGCGUCUUAUACUGGAUGGCUUGAGUUCGGGAGAGGGAUGCGGAAUUCCAGGUGUAGCGGUGAAAUGCGUAGAUAUCUGGAGGAACACCGGUGGCGAAGGCGGCAUCCUGGACCGACACUGACACUGAGGAGCGAAAGCCAGGGGAGCAAACGGG
rnacentral:rRNA from 1 species